AUGGCUAAAAUUAUAGUCUCAUGUAUCAUUCUUAUCUGUCUUAAAGCCACAGUUAUCUCUUCCCUCAACAUCCAGCAAUCACCACAACAUCUACUAAUAAAACCUGAGGAGAGUCCAGCGAAGCUCAGCUGCCAGCAUGGUGAUAGCAGCUAUCAAUACAUGUACUGGUAUCAACAAAAAACAGUCAGUGACUCCAUUGAGCUCAUUGGAAUGCUCCAGUACAAAAACCCCAUUCCUGAGGAGAAGUUUAAAACCCGAUUCAACAUUUCAGGACACGCUACAGGGGAUGCAUAUCUGUUCAUAUCCAGUCUAACUCCUGAGGACAGUGCAGUAUAUUUCUGUGCUGCUAGUAAGCACAGCCACACACUUUCCCUUUCUGUUUAA